GGAACUGGGUGAACCGGGCUAAUCAGAAACAGGUCCAUAUCCUCCACCAGCCAGUUCGCCGAGGCCAGGGGGAAACCCUGACUUCAGGCUCCCACGCGCUGCCUGGCGACCGUCAGAUGGUGCUUGGUUUUGCCAUCACCGGAAAAGCCUCCAUGUCCGCAUAAGCGAAAAAAGAUGCCGUUGGCUUAUAAAUCGCUGCGCCGGUGAUGUGUCGAGCGGAUGGUUUUUAAAGGUUCCUCUCUUUGAUGAUUAAUGCAGCAUGAUGUCCUGCUGACAAAUUCAGAGGUUCUUGUGCCGACACUCAAGUGCAGCGCCUGGCCUUCGUGACCCGGCUGCUGGCAGGGUGUCCAUCUCUGAGUGCAAAGAGAGAAUCCUCUGAACUCAUCCUGUGAACCUCUCUGUGGGCUUCAGAAUCCCUGGGUCUGAACAGAAGAGGCACAGAACACCUUCCCUGGCUAGGCAACUCUUGCACCGCGGGCGGACAAAAGUUUCCAGUCCCGCUUCACAGAUACCCGGAAUUCACAAAACCUGAGGACUUCUCUCACUCAACUUUGAACUGAAAGUUCAAACACAAAACAGAGGCUCACAGAGCGAUGGAUCAGGACCCGGAACCAGAAGUAGGAGUUACAGUAUCUGCGACUUGGGAAAACCACCAGUCUAGCUGGGGUGUUUGGUUUCGUCUUUGGCCCUUGGCCUUUUUGUGUGUGAGAGACGUGUCCACAUGUUUCAUCCUUGGAAUGCAACCAGUUGAACUAGUUAUUUUUAAUCCAGAGAAUGUCAUGCAAAGCCCAAUACUCAACUUAGUCAUGCAAACAAAGGAGGCAAGCAAAAUGCUCCCAAGUAUGCUGACAGUUUAGCUUUUCUCCUACAAAAGGCAACAACCUUUAACUGGAGAAAGAAGUCCCAGGGAUCGUAAAUACUGUUGCACAAACAUAAGGCAGCGUUUGGUUUAAAUACUUACGUAGCUUAUCAAAAGUUUUGUACCAUCGACAGAGUUCCAUUGUGCUCUAAACAAUCUAUUGCUUCAUAGCCCUGGUUUCUUCCCUCAAGUCAUUACAAAAAAAUUAGGUAGCAGACUGAACACAUUUCUCCAGAGUAGCAGCAGAGAAACUUAUGGUGAUGCCAAAGGAAGUUUUGGAAAUUCGUUGUUGGGGACCAUUUUCCCUGAUAGAAUAAAAGCCUUCAACUUUUGGAAAUCCGAGCUAUACGAGGCUCUUAAUUGUUACCUAAAAUUGUCAUCAUUGCUCAAAAAUUUUCUGGCAGAGGAAAUAGGGGCAAAAAGUCAGUCUAAUGAAAGUUGGGUGGUAAAAUUAGAAAAGGGUUGAGAUCAGCAUUCUAACUCAGAGAUAAAGUCUAGUACCUGUGUGUAUAUGUGUGUUAAUGAUCAACGACAACUCCUUUUUUUUAAAUUGAGGUAUAGUUUGAGUUUCCCAAGUGGUGCUAGUAGUAAAGAACCCGUCUGCCAAUGCAGGAGACACAAGA